CAGCCGCGGUAAUACGGAGGGUUCAAGCGUUAUCCGGAAUCAUUGGGUUUAAAGGGUCCGCAGGCGGUCUUAUAAGUCAGUGGUGAAAGCCUACAGCUCAACUGUAGAACUGCCAUUGAUACUGUAAGACUUGAAUUUGGUCGAAGUGGGCGGAAUGUGACAUGUAGCGGUGAAAUGCAUAGAUAUGUCACAGAACACCGAUAGCGAAGGCAGCUCACUAGGCCAGUAUUGACGCUCAUGGACGAAAGCGUGGGGAGCAAACAGG
rnacentral:rRNA from 1 species